rnacentral:rRNA from 1 species
CCUACGGGAGGCAGCAGUAAGGAAUCUUCCACAAUGGACGAAAGUCUGAUGGAGCAACGCCGCGUGCAGGAUGAAGGCUUUCGGGUCGUAAACUGCUUUUAUAUGGGAAGAUUAUGACGGUACCAUAUGAAUAAGGACCGGCUAACUACGUGCCAGCAGCCGCGGUAAUACGUAGGGUCCAAGCGAUGUCCGGAAUUACUGGGCGUAAAGCGUGUGUAGGUGGAUUAAUAAGUGUGAUGCGAAAUCCGGCGGCUCAACCGUUUGGACUGUGUCGCAUACUGUUAGUCUAGAGGACGGCAGAGGUAAGUGGAAUUACGGGUGUAGCAGUGAAAUGCGUAGAUAUCCGUAGGAACACCAAUGGCGAAGGCAGCUUACUGGGCCACACCUGACACUGAGACACGAAAGCGUGGGGAGCGAACAGGAUUAGAUACCCUGGUAGUCCACGCCGUAAACGAUGCAUACUAUUAGUAUGGGGUAUCGACCCCCUGUGCUGAGAAGCUAACGCGAUAAGUAUGCCGCCUGGGGAGUACGAGCGCAAGCUUAAAACUCAAAGGAAUUGACGGCUGAGACGNGCGACGACGACACGAGGAGAGG